CGGUCUUCGAGGAAAUUCACGUGAAAUAACUAAUAAGAAAGAAAGUUUUUGGUAGUGGCAUGGGCGUAAUUAAAUACCAAUCCCAUGGUUAUUUCAAAACAUCCACAGCCAUCCAGCCACUCCUAUAUAAACCCUAUAUUUCUCUCAGAACUCACAUAAAAAAUAUUGCAAGUUUAGGGUCAUAAAAAUCUCUAUCAUCACAAACAAAUAUAGGGUUUGUUGAUUUGGUGGCUGCUUUCGCCGUCUUUGCUUUCAAAAUUCAAUCUUGACCUGUUUCUUUUAUGCUUUUUGAAUAGGGUUUUUUUUUUUUGAACUUGAGAAAGAGGGGGUU